rnacentral:lncRNA from 1 species
CCUUACUGAAAUGCUACGUAUAGAAUGGAUUGGGAUAUUUACUGUUUUGAUCCUUUCUUUUCUGUGUGUUUCCUGAUUUGAUCCCCAAACAAUAUUUAGUUUCGUUUUCUCACCCUUAAAUUUAGUUCUGAUUUUGAUUGAAUCCCUUUCGCAUUUUUUUAUUUUUUAUUAAUUUUUUGUUUUAUUUCUAUUUUCAUUUAUCUUUAUAUAUAUCUAUACAUUAUUUUAAUAUGUG